CCUACGGGAGGCAGCAGUGGGGAAUAUUGCACAAUGGGCGGAACCCUGAUGCAGCAACGCCGCGUGGGUGAAGAAGUACUCCGGUAUGUAAAGCCCUGUCAGCAGGGAAGCAAAGGACGGUACCGGACCAAGAGGCCCCGGCUAACUACGUGCCAGCAGCCGCGGUAAUACGUAGGGGGCAAGCGUUAUCCGGAGUUACUGGGCGUAAAGGGAGCGUAGACGGCAAGGCAAGUCUGGAGUGAAAGCCCGUGGCCCAAGCACGGGACUGCUGUGGAAACUGUGUUGCUGGAGUGCAGGAGGGGUAGGCGGAAUUCGUGGUGUAGCGGUGAAAUGCGUAGAUAUUAGGAGGAACACCGGUGGCGAAGGCGGCUUACUGGACUGUAACUGACGUUGAGGCUCGAAGGCGUGGGGAGCAAACAGGAUUAGAUACCCGUGUAGUC
rnacentral:rRNA from 1 species